rnacentral:rRNA from 1 species
GACGAACGCUGGCGGCGUGCUUAACACAUGCAAGUCGAACGGAAAGGCCCUGCUUUUGUUGGGUUCUCGAGUGGCGAACGGGUGAGUAACACGUGAGUAACCUGCCCUUGACUUUGGGAUAACUUCAGGAAACUGGGGCUAAUACCGGAUAGGAGCUCCUGCUGCAUGGUGGGCGUUGGAAAGUUUCGGCGGUUGGGGAUAGACUCGCGGCUUAUCAGCUUGUUGGUGGGGUAGUGGCUUACCAAGGCUUUGACGGGUAGCCGGCCUGAGAGGGUGACCGGACACAUUGGGACUGAGAUACGGCCCAGACUCCUACGGGAGGCAGCAGUGGGGAAUAUUGCACAAUGGGCGGAAGCCUGAUGCAGCAACGCCGCGUGCGGGAUGACGGCCUUCGGGUUGUAAACCGCUUUCGCCUGUGACGAAGCGUGAGUGACGGUAAUGGGUAAAGAAGCACCGGCUAACUACGUG